GUGGAGCUGCCAGCAGACAGGGGACCAGGGACCUCGGCAGUAGGGGCCAGGUGGGGCACAGAGGGUGGGCCCAGACCCACCCCUGUGCCUACUGCAGCCUUGCAAGGCACAGUUCCUUUCAAGGUGCACGAAUUAGUGCACUGGGCCCCUAGAGUCACAAUGAGACUGCAGA